GAUGAAGAACGCAGCGAAUUGCGAUAAGUAAUGUGAAUUGCAGAUUUUCAGUGAAUCAUCGAAUCUUUGAACGCACAUUGCGCCCCUUGGUAUUCCAUGGGGCAUGCCUGUUCGAGCGUCAUCUACACCCUCAAGCUCUGCUUGGUGUUGGGCGUCUGUCCCGCCUCUGCGCGCGGACUCGCCCCAAAUUCAUUGGCAGCGGUCCUUGCCUCCUCUCGCGCAGCACAAUUGCGUGGCGGGGGGGCGCGGUUCGCGUCCACGAAGCAACAUUUACCGUCUUUGACCUCGGAUCAGGUAGGGAUACCCGCUGAACUUAAGCAUAUCAAUAAGCGGAGGA
rnacentral:misc_RNA from 1 species